CUGAUGUUAGCGGCGGACGGGUGAGUAACACGUGGGUAACCUGCCUGUAAGACUGGGAUAACUCCGGGAAACCGGGGCUAAUACCGGAUGGUUGUUUGAACCGCAUGGUUCAAACAUAAAAGGUGGCUUCGGCUACCACUUACAGAUGGACCCGCGGCGCAUUAGCUAGUUGGUGAGGUAACGGCUCACCAAGGCAACGAUGCGUAGCCGACCUGAGAGGGUGAUCGGCCACACUGGGACUGAGACACGGCCCAGACUCCUACGGGAGGCAGCAGUAGGGAAUCUUCCGCAAUGGACGAAAGUCUGACGGAGCAACGCCGCGUGAGUGAUGAAGGUUUUCGGAUCGUAAAGCUCUGUUGUUAGGGAAGAACAAGUACCGUUCGAAUAGGGCGGUACCUUGACGGUACCUAACCAGAAAGCCACGGCUAACUACGUGCCAGCAGCCGCGGUAAUACGUAGGUGGCAAGCGUUGUCCGGAAUUAUUGGGCGUAAAGGGCUCGCAGGCGGUUUCUUAAGUCUGAUGUGAAAGCCCCCGGCUCAACCGGGGAGGGUCAUUGGAAACUGGGGAA
rnacentral:rRNA from 1 species